UGCACAUUGUUGAUCUCCCACCGACUUAGUUGUUUUCAACACCAGAGAGUCCUCGAGAAAAAUAGCAAAACCCAUCUUCUUCUUCUCAAAGCAGAACCCAUCUUCUUCUCUUUAAGAAUAAAGCCCAUCAUUCUUCUUGAAACCCAUCUUCUUCUUAAAACCCAUCUUCUGAAAACACUCUAUUAGGGUUCUAUAUACUCAAUUAGGGUUUUCAAUUUGGGGAUUUGAAGGAAGAGGAAGGAGGGGGGGUGGUUUCUCGGGUUUCUUCAAUCAUUGAAACCCUAACUCGCUCUCUCUAACUCAUUUGCGACCCCUCAUACUCCAAUGCACUUUGAAGCUUGUCUCUGACCUGGUGUCGCGACAGCCCACCUCUCCGGCCUCGUCUUCGCCUCCGUUCACUCUGAUUCAGUGAGUGAGCUUUCAAAGAUCGAUUCAGACUCUCUACUAUCUCUAUUGAUAAAGGCGAAGGUACUACAAUCUUGGCAAACUCACUAAUUAAUCGACUUCGAUUUCGUUUCUAGUUUCUCAGUUUUCAAUUCUCGUUCUCCGAGCGGCGAAGAGAAGCGGCUUCUUGGGCUAUGGAGCCUCGAGUAGGGGGACGAUUCUGAGUCGGCGGAAAGAACAGUAGUGGAUCCUUUGGAGAGAUCUACUUAGCCUUCAAAGCUCUGGGAAAGCUGAUCCUUGAAGUUGGGUUUUUGGUGGCAUUUCACUGUGAUAGAUAUGACAACAUUGGAAGACAGAAUGCUUUGGAACAAUAUGUGUAUCGGCCUUUGAUGUUCAAGUAGAUAGGGCAUAUAUGUAUUAGAAUGCUUUUCUCGUUUUAAUCUUGAAUGAUUGGGAAAUGCUCCAUUUUAACAUUUGAGGCAUAUGGAAUUGAUUGGAUUACUCAUUUGAUGGCU